rnacentral:lncRNA from 1 species
UUUUCUUGAGUUAAUUCAUUAUCAAAUGCUUAGUUCUUGAGUAUUUUUUUUCUUUUUCUUUUGAGUAAAUUGUGUGUCUUAAUAACACUGAAUAGUGGUUAAUAAUUAUGUAACACGUAUAAUGUACUCUCUCUCUCUAUAUAUAUCUAUCUUCGAAAGUCCCAGUUAUAUGUCGACAUUAUAUAAUUAUUAAGGUGUGUCAGAAUGUACAAAGAAAUUACAGUUCGGUUUAAAUACCAAUAUAUAUAUAUAUAUAUAUAAAUACAAUAAAGAAUCCCUUACAGAGCAAUUAUA